rnacentral:lncRNA from 1 species
ACACGUCUAUAAUCCCAGCGCUGGGACACGUCUAUAAUCUCUGGAGUUUGCCGUUACCAGUCAAUAGCCCCGUUUCCCCUCUAGAUAAUACGAAAUGCUGUGUGUGUUCGUGAAGAAUGUUCCAGUGUUUUGACCUACGAGGCCGUCUCUUCCUUCGUCAGAGUCCUCUGUGGAGGUGGAGAAUAGAGGACAACAGGUGAGGUGGUACCUGUCUUCCUUCGCCCCUCCCUAUGUAAAGGGGUGGACAGCAGUGGGGAUGUGUACCGGGCCACCUACACAGCUUUCAGGUGUCCCCGAGUCUCUGGAAUCCUGGGAGCUAACGACAAGAUGCAGGUGCCCAUCACCUUCUUGCCGAGGAACCGAGGGGACUAUGCUCAGUUCUGGGACCUGGAGUGUCACCCAGUGGCUGAGCCUCAGCACAAGACCAGGAUCCGCUUCCAGCUCUGUGGCACUGGUGUGAAGGUUGGUCCAGCGGCGGCUCCUCAGGAAGCAGACUGUUCUCUGGUGAAGACUGAAGCCUUUAAGACCAGGAGAAGACCUGACCCGGUCGCUGAUGGGGGCAUGACUGGUCAGGAGGAGCCUCUAUGUAGAGGGGUCUACGCCCCCAGGACCACUACUCAUUCCCCCCUACCAGGGUGGGGGAGACCAGCACACUGAAGGUCAACAUGAGAAACAACUCCUUGGAAACGCAUGGGCUGAUGUUCCUAACCCCUAAAGAGCCCUUCCACAUCAAGCAUUCCAGAUAUUCCCUACGAUCCCAACGCUACAUCCACCUGCCAGUCCAGUUCAAGCCGGUUGUCACCGGCAACCACUCCAGCCAGCUGUUGGUUCAGACGGAUACCAGUGGAAACAUCGCUAUCCAGCUGACUGGUGAAGCCCUGGCCUGAGGACGUCUGGGUCAGGGAGGACUGCUGGGUCUGGGUCAGGGAGGACUGCUGGGUCAGGGAGGACUGCUGGGUCUGGGUCAGGGAGGACUGCUGGGUCUGGGUCAGGGAGGACUGCUGGGUCUGGGUCAGGGAGGACUGCUGGGUCUGGGUCAGGGAGGACUGCUGGGUCUGGGUCUGGGAGGACUGCUGGGUCUGGGUCAGGGAGGACGUCUGGGUCUGGGAGGACUGCUGGGUCUGGGUCUGGGAGGACUGCUGGGUCUGGGUCAGGGAGGACUGCUGGGUCUGGGUCAGGGGAGGACUGCUGGGUCUGGGUCAGGGAGGACUGCUGGGUCUGGGUCAGGGAGGACUGCUGGGUCUGGGUCAGGGAGGACUGCUGGGUCUGGGUCAGGGAGGACUGCUGGGUCUGGGUCAGGGAGGACUGCUGGGUCUGGGUCAGGGAGGACUGCUGGGUCUGGGUCUGGGAGGACUGCUGGGUCUGGGUCAGUGAGGACAGCUUGAUGUGGUUACCAUGGUGGGGUAGAUGGGUAAUGAACUCUCUCCCAGUGGACAGCUUGAUGUGGUUACCAUGGUGGGAUAGAUGGGUAAUGAACCCUCUCCCAGUGGACAGCUUGAUGUGGUUACCAUGGUGGGAUAGAUGGGUAAUGAACUCUCUCCCAGUGGACAGCUUGAUAUCCUCUGGGGGUCUACAGCUCUAUAUCCUAUCCUCUGGGGGUCUACAUAGAGCCAGCAGACUACAGCUCUAUAUCCUCUGGGGGUCUACAUAGAGCCAACAGACUACAGCUCUAUAUUCUAUCCUCUGGGGUCUGCAGCUCUAUAUCCUAUCCUAUGGGGGUCUACAGCUCUAUAUCCUCUGGGGGUCUACAGCUCUAUAUCCUAUCCUCUGGGGGUCUACAUAGAGCUAGCAGACUACAGCUCUAUAUCCUAUCCUCUGGGGGUCUACAUAGAGCUAGCAGACUACAGCUCUAUAUCCUGUCAUCUGGGGGUCUACAGCUCUAUAUCCUAUCCUCUGGGGGUCUGCAUAGAGCUAGCAGACUACAGCUCCAUAGCCUAUCCCCUGGGGGUCUACAUAGAGCUAGCAGUCUACAGCUCUAUAUCCUAUCCUCUGGGGGUCUACAGCUCUAUAUCCUAUCCUCUGGGGGUCUACAGCUCUAUAUCCUAUCCUCUGGGGGUCUACAUAGAGCCAGCAGACUACAGCUCUAUAUCCUGUCCUCUGGGGGUCUGCAGCUCUAUAUCCUAUCCUCUGGGGGUCUACAGCUCUAUAUCCUAUCCUCUGGGGGUCUACAGCUCAAUAUCCUAUCCUCUGGGGGUCUACAGCUCUAUAUCCUAUCCUCUGGGGGUCUACAGCUCUAUAUCCUAUCCUCUGGGGGUCUACAGCUCUAUAUCCUGUCCUCUGGGGGUCUACAUAGAGCUAGCAGACUACAGCUCUAUAUCCUGUCCUCUGGGGGUCUACAGCUCUAUAUCCUAUCCUCUGGGGGUCUACAUAGAGCUAGCAGACUACAGCUCUAUAUCCUGUCCUCUGGGGGUCUACAGCUCUAUAUCCUAUCCUCUGGGGGUCUGCAUAGAGCUAGCAGACUACAGCUCUAUAGCCUAUCCCCUGGGGGUCUACAUAGAGCUAGCAGUCUACAGCUCUAUAUCCUAUCCUCUGGGGGUCUACAGCUCUAUAUCCUAUCCUCUGGGGUCUACAGCUCUAUAUCCUAUCCUCUGGGGGUCUACAUAGAGCCAGCAGACUACAGCUCUAUAUCCUGUCCUCUGGGGGUCUGCAGCUCUAUAUCCUAUCCUCUGGUGGUCUGCAGCUCUAUAUCCUAUCCUCUGGGGGUCUACAUAGAGCUAGCAGACUACAGCUCUAUAUCCUGUCCUCUGGGGGUCUACAGCUCUAUAUCCUAUCCUCUGGGGGUCUGCAUAGAGCUAGCAGACUACAGCUCUAUAGCCUAUCCCCUGGGGGUCUAUAUAGAGCCAGCAGUCUACAGCUCUAUAUCCUAUCCUCUGGGGGUCUACAGCUCUAUAUCCUAUCCUCUGGGGGUCUACAUAGAGCCAGCAGACUACAUCCUGUCCUCUGGGGGUCUGCAGCUCUAUAUCCUAUGCUCUGGGGGUCUGCAGCUCUAUAUCCUAUCCUCUGGGGGUCUACAGCUCUAUAUCCUAUCCUCUGGGGGUCUACAGCUCAAUAUCCUAUCCUCUGGGGGUCUACAGCUCUAUAUCCUAUCCUCUGGGGGUCUGCAGCUCUAUAUCCAAUCCUCUGGGGUCUACAGCUCUAUAUCCAAUCCUCUGGGGGUCUACAGCUCUAUAUCCUAUCCUCUGGGGGUCUACAGCUCUAUAUCCUAUCCUCUGGGAGUCUACAGCUCUAUCCUAUCCUCUGGGGGUCUACAGCUCUAUAUCCCUAUCCUCUGGGGGUCUACAUAGAGCCAGCAGACUACAGCUCUAUAUCCUAUCCUCUGGGGGGUCUACAGCUCUAUAUCCUAUCCUCUGGGGGUCUACAGCUCUAUAUCCUAUCCUCUGGGGGUCUAUAUAGAGCUAGCAGACUACAGCUCUAUAUCCUGUCCUCUGGGGGUCUACAGCUCUAUAUCGUGUCCUCUGGGGGUCUACAGCUCUAUCCUGUCCCUCUGGGGUCUACAGCUCUAUAUCCUAUCCUCUGGGGGUCUACAUAGAGCUAGCAGACUACAGCUCUAUAUCCUAUCCUCUGGGGGUCUGCAGCUCUAUAUCCUAUCCUCUGGGGGUCUACAGCUCUAUAUCCUGUCCUCUGGGGGUCUACAUAGAGCCAGCAGUCUACAGCUCUAUAUCCUGUCCUCUGGGGGUCUACAGCUCUAUAUCCUAUCCUCUGGGGGUCUACAGCUCUAUAUCCUGUCCUCUGGGGGUCUACAUAGAGCCAGCAGUCUACAGCUCUAUAUCCUGUCCUCUGGGGGUCUACAGCUCUAUAUCCUGUCCUCUGGGGGUCUACAUAGAGCUAGCAGACUACAGCUCUAUAUCCUGUCCUCUGGGGGUCUACAGCUCUAUAUCCUAUCCUCUGGGGGUCUACAUAGAGCUAGCAGACUACAGCUCUAUAUCCUGUCCUCUGGGGGUCUACAGCUCUAUAUCCUGUCCUCUGGGGGUCUACAGCUCUAUAUCCUGUCCUCUGGGGGUCUACAUAGAGCUAGCAGUCUACAGCUCUAUAUCCUAUCCUCUG